UUUAUCAAUGCAUUUAUUUCAACUAUUUGACAGACGGCAGCAGUGAAUAAAAGCUGCCAUUUGGCAGCUUGACAAGCCCGCUGCCCGUUACAAGGGUUCACGGAAACACAGCUUUAUUAGAAAUUUCAUCAGAUUACAUCAUUAAACAAGGUAGCAAAUACAAUGGAGACAUCAUGUAUAUGAAAUUAUGCUCUCGCGUUAACUUUCACGUGAAACUUGCUUGAAGCACAAAAACAAAUUGAAAUUGAUAGAAUCCGUGAUUUAGAAGACUUGGCAACAUAUAGCACAAGUGUUGGAUUCCAGAGUUGUAAACUUGUAGUUGGUACCAACUAUAGUUUGCCUCUCCGUGUCUCAAAACUCCGUUAUUUUCUUCUCUAAAGAAAGUGCUGUCAAAUUUAAAUUGCACACUUAAACUAUAGUGUGAUGAAGAACGCUGUAGUGGGCCAUCCUCUCCAGCACUUUCUAGUGGGUCAACCUCCAGUGCUGUGCUCGAGGAACACCGCCCAUGCCGAGUCCGUGCCCUACUAUGACGGUCGGCCCAAACACUGGUGAUAAACACCUUCACAAGAGAUGGCGAGUGCUUUGGCUUGCAAAAUCAAUCCUGGAACUUUGAUCCCGUACCGGACGCUCAGCCAUGCCUGAAGACGCAUCCCAGAAAGCGCCUCCUCAGUCGGUCGUGCGCUGGUGUGCCUCACCACAGGGACUUUGCCAUUUUCAGUGGCAUGGAAGACACUGGCGUGGAGGACUGGCCGAUGUCAUAUGAGACGGAUGAGCCACUGUACCCUGGAUCACGUGUGACCGUUGCUUUGGCAGGGGGCUGAUGACAAGAGUCCGAUGACGCCGUUGGACCUUCAACAGGUGCACAGAUUCUCUUUCGGAUGCGAAAGACAGAAGCUCUAAAAGCGCACACUGAACAAUUGAGGCAAUGGCAGCAAAGAAGCGUCCCCAUGCGCGCGUGAUCACCUGGAACGCCUUCAAGCUUCUUGCUUCAACCGCCAGAUGGCGCAGCCUGAUCUACAAACUGCAUUGCAGGGUGCCUAUGGCGCCUGUACAACUGCAGGUAUGAGCCUGGGUACUUGCACAAUGUGCUCAGCAGUGGGCGCACAGCUGUGAAUGCUUGGGGAGCUAUCUGCAGAGAUAAACUGGGCCCACUUGUGCAGCUUCCGGCAAAGCUUAAUGCGGCGUGCCACUGCGAUAUCCUUGACAGCUACCUCGUCCCGUUUGCCCUGGACGGGCCCUUUAAGGAUGGUUUUUACUGGCUUCAGCAGGACCACAGCCCCGUCCACAAAGCUAAAGUCGUCAAAGACUUCUUAGAAGAGCGAGGAGUUUGACAGCUGCAAUAGAUGCCAAAGGGCGCGGACUUCAACAUUAUAGAAAAUGUGGGGAGUUCUUCAAUCGAACUUGGCACACAUGAACUUGGGUGCAACAAGCAAAGAAGUGUGGCUUGCUGUUGCAGCGGAAUAGUACCGCAUUAAGCAAGACUGCGAGUUUGUGCAAUCUCUGUACGAUUCUCUGCAGCGGAGCAUGGAAGCAGCCACUCAUGUUAAUGCCAGUUACACACAACUCUGAACCGCGUUUGCUUUUGCACCUUGUAUUUUUUGUUCUUGUGAAACUAACUCGAUGAAAUUCUUCCUACUAAGAAAAAUAAAGAAUCCCGUUGGUACGUUCGACGUUCUGAGCAUGCGUUACUGUUACAAGAAGGCUCAAGAGAUGGCGCCACCAUCCCGCACGUGCUG